rnacentral:rRNA from 1 species
GGAUCCUUCGGGAUUAGUGGCAGACGGGUGAGUAACGCGUGGGAAGCUACCUUGUGGUAGGGGACAACAGUUGGAAACGACUGCUAAUACCCUAUGAGCCCUAUGGGGGAAAGAUUUAUCGCCAUGAGAUGUGCCCGCGUUAGAUUAGCUAGUUGGUAAGGUAAUGGCUUACCAAGGCGACGAUCUAUAGCUGGUCUGAGAGGAUGAUCAGCCACACUGGGACUGAGACACGGCCCAGACUCCUACGGGAGGCAGCAGUGGGGAAUAUUGGACAAUGGGGGCAACCCUGAUCCAGCCAUGCCGCGUGUGUGAUGACGGCCUUAGGGUUGUAAAGCACUUUCAGCAGUGAAGAUAAUGACAUUAACUGCAGAAGAAGCCCCGGCUAACUUCGUGCCAGCAGCCGCGGUAAUACGAAGGGGGCUAGCGUUGUUCGGAAUCACUGGGCGUAAAGAGUACGUAGGCGGACUGAUAAGUUAGGGGUGAAAUCCCAAGGCUCAACCUUGGAACUGCCUUUGAUACUGUCAGUCUUGAGAUCGAGAGAGGUGAGUGGAACUC